ensembl:snRNA U5 U5 spliceosomal RNA
UUACUCUGGUUUCUCUUCAGAUCAUACAAAUCUUUUGCCUUUAAGAUUUCCGUGAAGAGGAACAGUUAUGAGUCUUUUUCCAAUUUUGUGAGGCCUCGUUUUUCAAGAGGCU